rnacentral:rRNA from 1 species
GAUGAACGCUGGCGGCGUGCCUAAUACAUGCAAGUCGAACGCGCAGCGAAAGGUGCUUGCACCUUUCAAGUGAGUGGUGAACGGGUGAGUAACACGUGGACAACCUGCCUCAAGGCUGGGGAUAACAUUUGGAAACAGAUGCUAAUACCGAAUGAAACUUAGUGUCGCAUGAUACGAAGUUAAAAGGCGCUUUGGCGUCACCUAGAGAUGGAUCCGCGGUGCAUUAGUUAGUUGGUGGGGUAAAGGCCUACCAAGACAAUGAUGCAUAGCCGAGUUGAGAGACUGAUCGGCCACAUUGGGACUGAGACACGGCCCAGACUCCUACGGGAGGCAGCAGUAGGGAAUCUUCGGCAAUGGACGCAAGUCUGACCGAGCAACGCCGCGUGAGUGAAGAAGGUUUUCGGAUCGUAAAACUCUGUUGUAAGAGAAGAACGUUGAUGAGAGUGGAAAGUUCAUCAAGUGACGGUAUCUUACCAGAAAGCCACGGCUAACUACGUGCCAGCAGCCGCGGUAAUACGUAGGUGGCAAGCGUUGUCCGGAUUUAUUGGGCGUAAAGCGAGCGCAGGCGGUUGAUUAAGUCUGAUGUGAAAGCCCCCGGCUCAACCGGGGAGGGUCAUUGGAAACUGGUCAACUUGAGUGCAGAAGAGGAGAGUGGAAUUC